CUAAACACCGUUUUUAAAGGUAAAUGGGCAGGGUAUGGGAAUUGUGAAUUGCAUCCAUUGUAAUAAGCCUGACAACCAGGGGCGUCUAGACCCCUUUUACUGUUGCACGUGCCCUAGUGUAAAUCUGUUGUACCCAUGUCCUAUGUUGUGCCUCAAGUUUAAGUUUUUAGUUUAUUUGCCAGUAUAUUCAUUGUUAAUCGCGGCAAAACUGAGCUAUAUGAACCGUAAUUCACGGUUGUAAACGCAGUGCCGUCCCACAAGACAAACUGGCGCGAGCACGCAGAAAUCGAUGUCCGCGAGCGGAGCGUCUGUGUUUACUUUUUGUAGCACUCAGCCGCCGCUCACUCAGAAGAGCAUGUGAGGCACGCGAGAAAACAUGACAAAACAAAA